UAAAUUUAAACUUUAAGAUCUGAAUAAAUUAGCUUCGAUGGUAAAAUUCUUACUUUGCAAUUAUCACUUGUCGUAAUACAGUCUCAAAAGUAUUAUUCUAAUAUAAUAUUAUAUUAAAAAUUAAUUUUAUUAUAAAUAUAUAUAUAUUAGAUUAAACAGUCCCAAUCGAACAAAUUAUUUCACGAAAAGUGGAGGGGAGUGAA
rnacentral:lncRNA from 1 species